CACACAUACACACGUACACGUCUGUCUCAUCCACGCUCGUGCUAAAGUCAUGCUCGAUGCAGUGAUGGUUCGACGUGGCCUGUCAGCCAGCCCACACGAUCGAGCCACACGUGAACAAGCCAGUAAUUGUCUUUGCAUUUAUGGCGAAAGCUGCAAGAAAAAGUCGACAGUCGAAGAAAGGAAGCGCAUUUUGCUGACAAGUGAUUGGGACCUCAUGCCCUGCUAGCUGCAUCAUCAUGACGAGUAGAGUGUUCGCUGUUCAAGUGAGGAGUCUGAGAUGGGAAGUCUGAGCUGAGGACGUGCUUUGCAUUGGAUGCAGGAGGAGCAGAUAAAUGGCCAUGUGGAGCGAAUGAUCUCGAACCCAGUCCACAAAUCAAGGCGGAGAAACUAUCAGGCUGCACUUUGAAGGAUAGUGCUCCUAUCACUGCAGCCAAUUCAUGAUUGGCGAGCCAUG